GACAAUGGGCGAAAGCCUGAUCCAGCCAUGCCGCGUGAGUGAAGAAGGCCUUAGGGUUGUAAAACUCUUUCGACAGGGAAGAUAAUGACGGUACCUGUAUAAGAAGCUCCGGCUAACUCCGUGCCAGCAGCCGCGGUAAUACGGAGGGGGCAAGCGUUGCUCGGAAUUACUGGGCGUAAAGCGAGCGUAGGCGGUUAAUCAAGUUGGUGGUGAAAGCCCGGAGCACAACUCCGGAACUGCCAUCAAAACUGGUUUACUAGAGAUUGGUAGAGGAAAAUGGAAUUCCUAGUGUAGAGGUGAAAUUCGUAGAUAUUGGGAAGAACAUCGGUGGCGAAGGCGAUUUUCUGGGCCAAAUCUGACGCUGAGGUUCGAAAGCGUGGGUAGCAAACAGGAUUAGAUACCCUGGUAGUCCACGCCGU
rnacentral:rRNA from 1 species